rnacentral:rRNA from 1 species
CACUCCUACGGGAGGCAGCAGUGGGGAAUUUUGGACAAUGGGCGAAAGCCUGAUCCAGCAAUGCCGCGUGAGUGAAGAAGGCCUUCGGGUUGUAAAGCUCUUUUGUCAGGGAAGAAACGGUGAAAGCUAAUAUCUUUUGCUAAUGACGGUACCUGAAGAAUAAGCACCGGCUAACUACGUGCCAGCAGCCGCGGUAAUACGUAGGGUGCAAGCGUUAAUCGGAAUUACUGGGCGUAAAGCGUUCGCAGGCGGUUUUGUAAGUCUGAUGUGAAAUCCCCGGGCUCAACCUGGGAAUUGCAUUGGAGACUGCAAGGCUAGAAUCUGGCAGAGGGGGGUAGAAUUCCACGUGUAGCAGUGAAAUGCGUAGAUAUGUGGAGGAACACCGAUGGCGAAGGCAGCCCCCUGGGUCAAGAUUGACGCUCAUGCACGAAAGCGUGGGGAGCAAACAGGAUUAGAUACCCCGGUAGUCCCAUGA